rnacentral:lncRNA from 1 species
UGCUUCUAAUGAAAUAUCAAGAUGUGUCUCUGUAGAUGGAUCGUUUUCUCAUCAUUCUACUUUCAUGGCUCACGUGGAAGGUCAAUCAAGUCAAGUCAGAUUAUAAUGUUACAAAGGCAGCCGCGCAGCCGUAGACAAUUACCUGGAUGUUAAAAUCGUGUUCAUUUGAUGUUAGGCCUUCUGAUAUCGCAAAACUGGGUAUUGAAGAUUGAUCGUUGACUGUUUAUGGGAUUUCGGAAGCCAAUCUCGUUAGGCUAUAAUAUUCUACAGACUCAGCCAUCAGACAACCAAGAUGGCCACUGCUUUAUCGUCCAACUUUGAUAAAAUCAGGCCUCCUGAUAUGCCAAAAUCAUCAGGUGUUGAAUAACCAACAUUGACCGUUCAUGUAAUUUGUAAUUUCGGAAGACAAUCUCCUUAGGUAACUGCUAGUUAGGCAAUCAAACUUUGUAUUCACCUUAGCUACCUCUUAAUUAGAUGUGUUACAAAUGAUGUUUUUUUACUUAAAUUUUGAGCCGAUUUUGUGUAUCUUAAAUUGAUUAUUUCUUGAACCAUCAACUUGUUGGUUUUUAAU